GAUGAACGCUGGCGGCGUGCCUAAUACAUGCAAGUCGAGCGAACAGACGAGGAGCUUGCUCCUCUGACGUUAUCGGCGGACGGGUGAGUAACACGUGGAUAACCUACCUAUAAGACUGGGAUAACUUCGGGAAACCGGAGCUAAUACCGGAUAAUAUAUUGAACCGCAUGGUUCAAUAGUGAAAGACGGUUUUGCUUUCACUUAUAGAUGGAUCCGCGCCGCAUUAGCUAGUUGGUAAGGUAACGGCUUACCCAGGCAACGAUGCGUAGCCGACCUGAGAGGGUGAUCGGCCAGACGGGAACUGAGAAACGGUCCAGACUCCUACGGGAGGCAGCAGUAGGGAAUCUUCCGCGAUGGGCGAAAGCCUGAUGGAGCAACGCCGCGUGAGUGAUGAAGGUCUUAGGACCGUAGAACUCUGUUAUUAGGGAAGAACAAAUGUGUAAGUAACUAUGCACGUCUUGACGGUACCUAAACAGAAAGCCACGGCUAACUACGUG
rnacentral:rRNA from 1 species